UGAAAUCUCGGGGCUCAACCUCGAAACUGCGUCUGAAACUACAGGUCUAGAGUCUCGGAGGGGGAAGGGGAAUUUCGCAUGUAGGGGUAAAAUCCGUAGAUAUGCGAAGGAACACCAGAGGCGAAGGCGCCUUCCUGGACGAGUACUGACACUGAGGCGCGAAAGCGUGGGGAUCAAACAGGAUUAGAUACCCUGGUAGUCCACGCUGUAAACUAUGAACACUAGGUAUUGGAGGAUUUGACCCCUUCAGUGCCGUAGCUAACGCGUUAAG
rnacentral:rRNA from 1 species